UCAGGUGGCCUGGUGGCACAGUCUCCCCUCGGCCCCUCAGAAGCAGCAGCCAGCCCCAAAUGUCAUGACGAAGCAAAUCCUAUCUGCACCCCUGCUUAUGAAAUGACUUACAGUGUGAACUAUACUCCACACACAGUUGACAGCUCGCUGGCUUGGACACCACAACCGCUUAAUUUAUGUAAUUUUCAGCUGGGGAAGAAGGCUUGAAAGUAAGUAAGAGGCAAAUGACUCCUCACUUGCCACCAAAAUCCAUCUUUUCUAAUCUCUACAAAGAAGGCAAUCAUAAUCAUGAAAUUCCAAGAGACAGACAGCUACGGGAGCAGGCGGAGUUACAAUUUGGUGAUAUACCUGAGACACAGCAUACCAAUGAAGGAGGUGCAAGGACUUGUUUCUUCUGGGUGACGUUGAUAGCUCUACCUAUGAGCUGACACAGGCUUCCCGGACCUGUUAUAAGAGAGAUUUCACCUUGCCUGUUCUAAACUCUGGGGAUACGCUCACAACCAGAACAGACAAGGUCACUGCUUUCAAGGGGUUCCCAUUCUAGCCCCUGGGUGUCAAGUAAACAAAUCAACCAACAAAAUGAUAUCAGAUGAUAAGUGCUACGAAGAAAAUAAAACUGGAAGACAGGAAAGAGAGUGCCUGUGUGGUAAGGGGAGUCUCUCUGAGGAAAGCAUAUUUAAGCUGAGACCUGAAUGGCAAGAGAGGAACAGCCAUGCAAAGAUCUCAGGAAAUAACAUUCCAAACUGAAGGUACUGCGAGUGCAAAGGCCCUGGGUUCUCAUGAUGACAACAAUACCUGCUGUUAGGGAUAGUCUGUGAAGGAGAAUUGAAAUCGAGGAUUAUCAGCUGGGCAGCAGGAAGAUGAGUCUCUGUGUGCUGAGAAGAGAGACAUUGACUAUUUCUACAUCAGGAGCUCUGGAUGAAGAAGUGAUGCUCCCAAGUGGCUUCAAAAUGGUGUCAUAUUAUGUCUUGAGAGGCUAGGAUGGAGGUUGAAUGGACCUUAGUUUUUCAGAAAACAAUGAUAAGGGAAGAACUACUCAGAUGAAACACCUUCUGUUGAACUAGUCUCUUGAGGCACCUAGGAAGUAGUAGAGAUAUCUGGAUGACCUUUCCAAGACGGUUGGGGAUCUUCUUCUCUUUGUAAGGACAGUGCCAUCAUCAAGUCUGGUAAACAUCCUAUACUCAGAUGCAUAUCUCGAACAGCGAUGACUUUUACAAUGACAACCCAUGUGUGAUCAUACCAGGAACUGCUCAAGUUUUGGGGGGACUGGCUCUGGCAACAGCAACAACAAAAAUGCAUUUUUAUAAAAAGAAUAUAUAGAAUCCCUUCUAACUUCUCUCUUCAAAUCUUGCAUCUUUCCUUCUUAAUCUAUCAUUUGGCACCAGAUACAUCAAAUACAAUGUAGAAAAGUCUUUGACUUUCUAGAGAAGAAUCAGGUGUUUUGAUUUAUAUGAUUGCUCUAACUGCAUUACCCAUGUGGGAAAUUGUGGACUAAAUCAACAUGAUUAAAUCAUGUUCUGAGGGUUUGCUCGCUGCACUCUUGUUUGAGCGAUAGAGUGAAUUUGAUGAGGAAUCCAUAGCAAAUGAAAUAGAGACAUCCUUCACCAAAACAGAAUAGAUUAGCUUUUGCACUGGGAUAUUUGGCCUUGGAGUUCAUAAAUUACCUGUUGACUACAUAUAUAAUUCUCUGAUAUCCUUCAGGGAAAUAGGUGUUCCAGCAUAUCAGCUAUGCUGAGGUUUGGUAUGAUUCAACCAUUUUGACAAAUGCAUUACAAACUGGGAAAUUGAAUUUCUAGCCAACGUCAUAUCUACACCACAGCACAAUUGUUUUUAAAAAAUGAAAAAUGUGUUAGUUAAUUAGUAUCUAACAAUGCCAAACAGCUAGUCAAGAUGACUUUGCUCCACUAAAUUGAACAGUAGCUUGAGCAAAUGGUUCGAGUUAACCAACUGAUAAGGAGUUAAAUAGAUACAAUCUAUUCACAUCAAAGCAUAAGUAUAUGAUCAGACUUAGAUUAUCCGUAAUCUGCUCUCUUUUUGGCUAUAGUAGCAAUAAAUUUUGGUGCUCACAAGUAAAAAGAUGAACUGUUAGAAUAGUAAGUGUUCCAUAAAUAUUUGCUGAAACGUAGUAAAUAAAAAUAAAUAUCUACACUGAUAUUUCUGUAACUAUCAGAACAAUAGCUUAUAUUAUGACACCUCACAGGUCAAAAAUAAGUGGAUGAUAAAGAAGUGACUGAGCAGGAAAGAAUGAAAAAUGGCAACACACAGCCAAGCCCCUUUGCAUUGAGGCUUAAAUUAGUCUGGUUUACGACCAGAUCUAGCACCCAGAUCUUAAUUUCUAAACAGCAUUCUUCAAUAAAGAGGAACCUUGGAGAAAUGGCUGAUUCCAGCCCAGGGAAGAAAAAAUAAAAGGUGAGGCUAGGUCAUCUUAUGAUGCCAAAAAGUAAGACAUGCUCAGAGGUGCCUGGCUGGCUCAGUCAGUAGAGUAUGUGACUCUUGAUCUUGGGGUCGUGAGUUCAAGCUCUACAUUUAGAGCAAAAGUAAGACAUGCUCAAAAAAUGAUGGGGAUAUGUCAAAAUGACACAGAAACCAAUUGACCAAAUGUGGGACAAUUAUAGCAAUAAGAUAAACA